rnacentral:rRNA from 1 species
UGGCUCAGGACAAACGCUGGCGGCGUGCCUAAUACAUGUUUUUUCGAACGAGCUUGCCUAGAUGAAUUUGGUGCUUGCACCAGAUGAAACUAGAUACAAGCGAGCGGCGGACGGGUGAGUAACUGGUGGGUAACCUGCCCAAGAUGCUGGGAUAACACCUGGAAACUGAUGCUAAUACCGGAUAACAACACUAGACGCAUGUCUAGAGUUUAAAAGAUGGUUCUGCUAUCACUCUUGGAUGGACCUGCGGUGCAUUAGCUAGUUGGGAAGGCGACGGCUUACCAAGGGAAUGAUGCAUAACCUAGUUGAGAGACUGAUCGGCCACAUUGGGACUGAGACACGGCCCACACUCCUACGGGGGGCAGCAGUAGGGAAUCUUCCACAAUGGACGCUAGUCUGAUGGAGCAACGUCGCGUGAGUGAAGAAGGGUUUCGGCUCGUAUAGCUGUGUUGAUAGUGAAGAAAGAUAGAGGUAGUAACUGGCCUUUAUUUGACGGUAAUUAC